CAACCCUCAGGCCCUGCCUGGCGUUGGAGGACUGCGCACCGCAGCCUCCCAAAGCAAGCGGCGGCGGCGCCCCAAAACCGAACGCAGUAGUUACCUCUCGUUCUGGGUGUGGGACGUUGCCCGGCCGGAAAACCCCUUCUUCUUUAGUGG
rnacentral:misc_RNA from 1 species